rnacentral:rRNA from 1 species
GACGAACGCUGGCGGCGUGCCUAAUACAUGCAAGUUGAGCGCUGAAGGUUGGUCCUUGUACCAACUGGAUGAGCAGCGAACGGGUGAGUAACGCUUGGGGAACUUCCCUUUGAGCGGGGGCCACCUUUUGGAACCAAUUGUUAUUACCGCUUAAAACCUUUAACCACAAGUUUUAGGUUUGAAAGAUCCAUUUCCUUCCCUCAAAAUUGUCCCGCGUUUUAUUAGCUAGUUGGUGAGGUAAAGGCUUACCAAGGCGAUGAUACAUAGCCGACCUGAGAGGGUGAUCGGCCACAUUGGGACUGAGACACGGCCCAAACUCCUACGGGAGGCAGCAGUAGGGAAUCUUCGGCAAUGGACGAAAGUCUGACCGAGCAACGCCGCGUGAGUGAAGAAGGUUUUCGGAUCGUAAAACUCUGUUGGUAGAGAAGAACGUUGGUGAGAGUGGAAAGCUCAUCAAGUGACGGUAACUACCCAGAAAGGGACGGCUAACUACGUG